CACAAGCGGUGGAGCAUGUGGUUUAAUUCGAUGCAACGCGAAGAACCUUACUAGGCUUGACAUCCCUGGAAUUUGUGGAAACACAAAAGUGCCUUUCGGGGAACCAGGAGACAGGUGCUGCAUGGCUGUCGUCAGCUCGUGUCGUGAGAUGUUGGGUUAAGUCCCGCAACGAGCGCAACCCUUAUCUUUAAUUGCCAGCAUUCAGUUGGGCACUUUAAAGAGGACUGCCGGUGUUAAACCGGAGGAAAGGUGGGGAUGACGUCAAGUCCUCAUGGCCUUUAUGCUUAGGGCUACACACGUGCUACAAUGGUCGGUACAAAGGGUUGCCAAGCCGCGAGGUGGAGCUAAUCCCAUAAAACCGAUCGUAGUCCGGAUCGCAGUCUGCAACUCGACUGCGUGAAGUCGGAAUCGCUAGUAAUCGUGAAUCAGAAUGUCACGGUGAAUACGUUCCCGGGCCUU
rnacentral:rRNA from 1 species